rnacentral:tRNA from 1 species
AUAUGUGUGGUGUGGUGGUUUGAGCAUUAGACUAGGACUCUGGAGACCAGGGUUCGAAUCCCAGCUCAGCCA